GAUGAACGCUGGCGGCGCGCCUAACACAUGCAAGUCGAACGAUUAAAGCACCUUCGGGUGUGUAUAAAGUGGCGAACGGCUGAGUAACACGUGGGCAACCUGCCCCUUUCAUUGGGAUAGCCACGGGAAACCGUGGAUAAUACCGAAUACUUCGAGACUUCCGCAUGGAAGACUCGAGAAAGCUCCGGCGGAGAGGGAUGGGCCCGCGGCCUGUUAGCUUGUUGGUGAGGUAACGGCCUACCAAGGCAAUGAUGGGUAGCUGGGUUGAGAGACCGGCCAGCCAGAUUGGGACUGAGACACGGCCCAGACUCCUACGGGAGGCAGCAGUGGGGAAUCUGGCACAAUGGGCGAAAGCCUGAUGCAGCGACGCCGCGUGCGGGAUGAAGGCCUUCGGGUUGUAAACCGCUUUCAGCAGGGACGAGGCGAAAGUGACGGUACCUGCAGAAGAAGCCCCGGCUAACUACGUG
rnacentral:rRNA from 1 species